AGCAUUUCAGUUUGCUUGCAAACUGGAGAUCGGCGACCGGCGCACGGGUGAGUAACACGUAUCCAACCUGCUGAUAACUCGGGGAUAGCCUUUCGAAAGAAAGAUUAAUACCCGAUGGUAUAAUUAGACCGCAUGGUCUUGUUAUUAAAGAAUUUCGGUUAUCGAUGGGGAUGCGUUCCAUUAGGCAGUUGGUGAGGUAACGGCUCACCAAACCUUCGAUGGAUAGGGGUUCUGAGAGGAAGGUCCCCCACAUUGGAACUGAGACACGGUCCAAACUCCUACGGGAGGCAGCAGUGAGGAAUAUUGGUCAAUGGGCGCAGGCCUGAACCAGCCAAGUAGCGUGAAGGAUGACUGCCCUAUGGGUUGUAAACUUCUUUUAUAUGGGAAUAAAGUUUUCCACGUGUGGAAUUUUGUAUGUACCAUAUGAAUAAGGAUCGGCUAACUCCGUGCCAGCAGCCGCGGUAAUACGGAGGAUCCGAGCGUUAUCCGGAUUUAUUGGGUUUAAAGGGAGCGUAGGUGGACAGUUAAGUCAGUUGUGAAAGUUUGCGGCUCAACCGUAAAAUUGCAGUUGAUACUGGCUGUCUUGAGUACAGUAGAGGUGGGCGGAAUUCGUGGUGUAGCGGUGAAAUGCUUAGAUAUCACGAAGAACUCCGAUUGCGAAGGCAGCUCACUGGACUGCAACUGACACUGAU
rnacentral:rRNA from 1 species